UGGGCUUUCUGACUGCGGACACCGCCCUCCGGGCCUGAGAGCCAAGCCCGGGUAUUAGGACUUUGUCCUGAUCCCUCUCCUCCUAUACCGACCACUCUGUCACACUGGCUCCCUGAGUCCUACCCUAGGCUGUCUGAGGAAACCGGGGAGAGAACCCCAGGCUGGGGCCAGGCCUUUUCCUCCUCUUCCCUUCUUGGAAUGCCUUUCGCUGAACUGGACUCCCAACUCCCACCCGUUUCUUCUCCCCAUUGGACUCCUCUAGAAGAAAAUUCACCCGCAGAGAACUUCAUGCCAGAGAUUCUGUAUGUCAGCUGUCCAGGCGUGGUGUGGAUGGAUUCUCUGAUCAGGGUUUCACAAACUUGUGCUCUCAUCUGGAACUCAGGAUUCUCCUCCAAGCUUCUACAGAGCAGCAGGUCCAUUGGUGUUUGAUUGAAUAACUAGGGGAAGAUGAAUAACCAGAAGAUCAAUUCAUAUCAUGGGGGCCAUCUUGGAAUCCGCUCAGCAUGGCCUGGUGUUUCCUUUUGUGUUUUAUUUGGUUACAAUUGGAAAUAGAAGUUCAAGUAAAUAGAUUGUUGUGAUUGGUAAUAAAAUACAAUCUGUCGACUUAGCCUUGAAAUUAUUCUUAAAUUUGAAAAUCAAGUAAUGAUACGUUUAAUAUCUCAUAGCUAAUUUAGAGCAAAUCAAAAUUAACAUGCAAUAAUUCCUUAUUCUCUUUGGACACAGUAUUAGUUAUCUGCUUUUGCCUAACAAAUUCCCCAAAACUUAGCAACUAAAGGCAAUAAACAUUUUUCUUCCAGUUUCCAAGGGUCGGUAAUCAGGGAAGUUUACCUGAGUGUUUGUGGUUCAGCACCUCUCAAGAAGUUAUAGCCGAGACGUCGGCCAGGGCUGCAUCAUCUGAAGGCUUGGCUGGGGCUGCGGCAUCCGCAUCUGAUACGGCUCACUCGUGGCUGUUGAGAGAGGCCUCAGUUCCUCAAUGGCUGGUCCCAGGAGGUGUAUGAUACAGCAGCUGGCUUCCGCCAGAGCAAGUGAUCUGAGAGAGACCAAGAUGGAAAUCACAAUCUGUUUUGUCUCCUAGACUCGGAGAUAAAACUCUAUUCCUAAGACCAGUCUACCCUUUAAGAGGAGAGAAUUAAGCUCCACUUUUGAUGGGAAGAGGAUCAAAGAAUUAUAUGUUAAAACCAAAAUUAAAAUUAAGUAUCAUUUCAGGAUUUUGUAAAUUAAAUGCUGCUUUUUAUCUAAUUAUUGUUCCUUACUGCUUCACGUUUAAAAAAAAGUAAUGAUUAAAAGUUUGA